rnacentral:lncRNA from 1 species
AAAGGACACCUUCGGAUUUCCUGUCUUUGUGGGCUGAUGGACUAGAGGAAAGAUGCCUGUUGACGGUCAAAGGCAGAGCCUCUUCGGCAGCUUCUUAAAGCGCCUUCUUUAACAGAGAAACAAUCUGCAUGGGGUCUAGAACGGUUCUGAAAUCCUGCUGAAGGUUUCGAAACUUCCUGGGGGGGGUCUCCUGCCAGAGCGCCUACGCUGCCUCUGGGCUGGCUGGCCAGUGAGCCCCGUCUCACAGCCUGACAGUCCCCACAUCAGCCCGGACCGUCUUUCGGGACCAGCCCCAUUUGCACAGCCUGAGCUGUAGAGGGCCCUGGAGUUCGGAGUUCUUGUCCCAACUGUGCCCCUGCAGGCCUGUUCCACCCACUGAGGCUCAGUUUCCCCAUGUGCCUAAUGAGGAAGUCAUGCUAGGUGGG